rnacentral:misc_RNA from 1 species
GGCGGAGGAGCGCUUGGUGAGGAUGACGCGCAAGUCUCCUUCAUCGUCCUCGAAGAGACAGACGAGGACGGCAGCCCUCUUAGCUUCGCGCCGAUCCUGACCGGAGACGUCCUUCGGGGCGGCGGAUUCUGCAAGACCGACAUGGGAGAACACCUUCCCCCUCUCGUCCACGUCAUCGUCAUCGGCGAUGGGGGAGGAGGGCGGCGGCUUGUAGAGGCGGAGCUGUUG